UUUUGUAGUGACAAUAUGUAUUAAGGUUGAAAAUGCAGAGUGACACCAGGCUUGAGGAGGGUCAGUGGUGAGCCCGUGGCUGGUCUUUUCACUUCACCCGUCUCCUGUAGUGAAGCCCUCGCAGGGGAGGGGUGUAGCAACACAGGUACCUAGGACGCUGAGAUGACCAGAGCUGCUAUAAACCGCCAAAGACACACAGCUGUUAAAAUUACAACUGGAGAGAGCCGAGAAUGGGAGAAGAGCCGGCUGUCUAAGCAGCGCCUCCCCGUCCUCCUUGCCUCUCUUCUCCUCACCUCGCUCUCGCCGCCUGCUCGCCCUGCCGCUUUGCUCGGCGCCCAGAACACCUUCCACCAUGGCCGCCUCGGCGAGCUCCCACUUGAACAAAGGCAUCAAGCAGGUGUACAUGGCCCUACCUCAGGGCGAGAAAGUCCAAGCUAUGUACAUCUGGAUCGACGGUACUGGAGAAGGACUGCGCUGCAAGACCCGAACCUUGGAUUCUGAACCCAAGUGUGUAGAAGAGUUGCCCAAGUGGAAUUUUGAUGGCUCUAGCACUUUUCAGUCUGAAGGGUCCAACAGUGACAUGUAUCUUGUCCCUGCUGCCAUGUUUCGGGACCCUUUCCGCAAGGACCCCAACAAGCUGGUGUUCUGUGAAGUCUUCAAGUACAACCGAAAGCCUGCAGGCACACCUGUAAACGGAUAAUGGACAUGGUGAGCAACCAGCGCCCCUGGUUUGGAAUGGAGCAGGAAUAUACCCUCAUGGGCACUGAUGGGCACCCCUUUGGUUGGCCUUCCAACAGCUUUCCUGGGCCCCAAGGUCCCUACUACUGUGGUGUGGGAGCAAACAAGGCCUACGGCAGGGAUAUUGUGGAGGCUCACUACCAGGCCUGCUUGUACGCCAGCAUCAAGAUCAGGGGCAUGAAUGCCGACGUCAUGCCUACACAGUGGGAGUUCCAGAUAGGACCCUGUGAAGGAAUUGACAUGGGUGAUCAUCUCUGGGUGGCCCAUGAUCAUCUUGCAUCGUGUGUGUGAAGGCUUUGGUGUGACUGCCACCUUUGAUCCUAAGACCAUUCCUGGGAACUGGAAUGGUGCCGGCUGCCACACCAACUUUAGCACCAAGGCCAUGCGAGAGGACAAUGGUCUGAAGUACAUUGAGGAGGCCACUGAGAAACUAAGCAAGUGACACCAGUACCACAUCCGAGCCUACGAUCCCAAGGGAGGCCUGGACAAUGCCCAGCGCCUAACUGGAUUCCACGAAACCUCCAUCAUCGAUGACUUCUCUGCUGGCGUGGCCAGCCGUGGUGCUAGCAUCUGCAUCCCCCAGACUGUUGGCCAGGAGAAGAAGGGCUACUUCGAAGAUCGUCACCCAUCUGCCAACUGUGACCCCUUCGCUGUGACAGAAGCCCUCAUCCGCACGUCUUCUGAACGAAACCGGCGACGAGCCCUUCCAGUACAAGAACUAAGUGGACUAGACUUGC